UCAUUCAGUCUGUGCCAAGGAGAUGUCGCGCAGUGAUUGAUGCUGCUGGUGGCCACACACGAGUCGAAAGAAUGUCGUGACUGCAUCCAAGAUCUUCUGUGAGGUGCUCGCCCAUUGGUGGACCGCUAUUCCCCUAGCAAACCCGUAACAGGGUAUUUCAUCCCUCCAGCUUCGCCUUUAGGAGGACUGCCACUCCCAAGACUAAGCUUAGAAAACCCAAACUUACACAGGAUAGAGCUCAACGGAAAUAUACACAGCUGUGAUGACAUGCACUUAUGAAUCACUGUAUAAACAGUGAUGAUGUCAGGUGUUCGCGAAAGGAAUGUCCCUUUAAAGCCCAGGAACAGAUUAAAGG